ensembl:lncRNA
UGCACUGCAUGGCGUGAGCUGACUUCAGCGGGUCUGCCCAGCCCUCUGCUCCACACAAGGUCGCUCUGUGUGUGUUCGGCCUCGGAGAAUGAGGGGAGGCCGCGGCGCACAAUCACCACGAAGCACAUACCUUUCUGCCCCACAGCCCCACCAGCCCAGACACAAACCCCGGGUCUGUAUGUUUAUCAAGCGUCUCAGGCAUUUACACGCGCAUGAGAAGAAACUGAGAGCGAGGGGACCGUCUCCCAACGACGUGAUCCUACACCUGGAGACUUGAGGGAAGUGAUCACGUCUACCAAGCGCACUCUCAGUUCUGCUCUGGCUUUCCCUCUGGUUUUUUUUUCUUCUCCCCCUCCGUCUCUCAUAUUUGAGGACACACACCUGCAGCCAACCACGUGCCAUCCUUCAGCAGUCUGCUGACUCCGUGUGAUUUACAGCCUCAUGUCUGGUGAAAACCUGAAGAACCCUGGCUGCCCGGUGACUUGACGUAGAACAACGGCCGACUCCACUGUGUGUGUCAUACCAAAGGGAUGGCAACAGAGGGCUUGAGCUUUCUAAAAUGAAAAACUAUAAAUGGCCGAUAAAGAUAUGAACGACACUGCCAAAUAAUAACUUUAACUUGUGGGGAGAGGGAGAGGAGGGAGGACUGAAUCAGGAACAUUGUGACAACAUGAAUUUUUCAGUGUCAUAUCAAUAACAGAUUGUUACAUCAUCGUCACUCUUUUAGAUUACAUUUUGAAAUAAAUGCUAGUUUCACAAGUUUGCAUGUUUAAUUGAUGGCAGCACAUUCAGAAAUGUAUAUUUCGAUCAUUUCAAAAUGUCCAACAAGUCUGAGUACAAAACAUGAAACAUAAAAAUAAUAUAUCGAAGAAAAUUAAGUCAAUAAUAUUUCCGGGCCAAACACAACUGUGUCUCCGAGAACGCGACCACGUGCAGCCUGGACUCCUCUCCCUCGUGAUUUCACCAGUAGCCUAACUCUGUCAUUAACGCCGUCAGGAGAGCAGCCCUUAAAAACUAAGUGUGUCUUGCUUUUUUUCCCUCCACAGUGUAGGCCGUGCGGAUGGAGUUGUCAUCAGCUUAGUCCUCGCCCUUGUUUUAACACGUCUCCAGGGAUCACUGCUUCUCGAGCAGACAUUUACAUUUACCGUUUUUUACAGAGACUUGUUUUUUUUCUUUUUUCUUCCCUCUUUAAACUUCUUUCUUGGCAGGUUGACCUGUCGAGAGGAAGCCCGCGGUGCCUCACAGCCAGUUGAGCUGCGUUCAAGAGCUGUUAGAACUGUGUUCAAAAAUGCCUCAUCUGGUUUCAGCCUCUAGGGAGCUCCGGAUACACCAGAGAGCAGUUUCUCCUAUCAAUGCCAAAGUUGAGAUUAUGAAUUGUACUAAUAAGAAAUAAAUUAAAAUGUAGAAAAAUAAUAAUAACUUGUGAACCCGAAAGAGAAUAAAAUCAUGUGAAGAGGGGUGAGAGUAGAACUUUUGAUUUUCACUUAUAGUUGUAAUGGCCAUAAAGCUGAACUUUAUGCUUUCUAUGAAAAAUAAAUGAGAGUGUAAAAGCCCGUGUGAGGUAUACAGGUUGAUGAGGCAAAGACAGACUGGAGAAGUCCGUAACGACAGGCCUGACAUGUAAAACUGGCCGUAAGAAGAUGCGAGUGCCUAUUUUUCUCAAGACUAGAAAAAAUGAAAAUCGGUCCCGGUUUGUGAAAGACGGAGUAUCUCUCCUCGAAAGCAAAGAGACUUGCAUGUCGGCGACCAUGUGAGCAUAACCUUGAAAAUGUAUGUGCAGUGUGUCUCCAAACACACGCAAGCAUGGAUACGCAUGCGGCCACCUGCGCGCAAAUGCAAAACAC